rnacentral:lncRNA from 1 species
GUAGCAUUUCGGGAUCAAGCUUCCAGUCCAGGGACAUUCAAGGUAGCAUUGCUGACGUCCGCAGGCCCGGAGUCCUUUCUAUUUCAUCUAGUUUGUUAUCAUUGUACCGUAGCAGACACUCUAUGCUUCAUUCGAACCUUGUAUUUAAUAUUCUCUAGACGUCUGUGAGUAAUGUGAUACCAGUCUUGGGUAGAGGAUUUGUUAAACUUCCGCAUUUCUUUCACUAAAUUAUAUUUGAAACUUCCCUUUUAAUGCUAAAUGUUUUAUUGUUGUUAAUAUUGUCGAUGUUCGUUUAAAAUGUAUUUGAUAAUUGGCUUGCCUAGCUCUCAUUAGUAGGCGUCAUCACGGCUCCUGAUGAUGAAAAAUCCGGGUCGUGACAAUUAAAAUUUUAGGAAAGAAAAAUUUAACACUUCUCAUUUAAUAAAUUUUUAUGACACUAAUUCAAAUUAAUCAUAAUCUAUCUCGAAUAUUAAAUUUCUAAUGAAAAACAAAAGGCAAAAUACAUAAACAGUCCCUUCAAGUUGUUUUUAACUGUCAGAUGUACACCUCAAUUAUACUAAUUACCAGAGAGAUGCUUUUUCUCGGCUAAAGUGUGUCUCAUAAACCUCUCAUGAUGAUAUGACAAAGUGUGUACUUUUUACUCAUGUCUAGGCGCGUAAAAUCCUCAAAAUUAUAUAUAUAUAUAUAUAUAUAUAUAUAUAUUUUUUUUUAAAUUAACUUUAUUUUAAUAACCCACUUGCCUUCAUCUUCAUACUUCUUUCUUCUUCAAGUUUCACCAUUGAUGAAAACAAGAACAAUUAAUAAGUUUCUUCCAAAUUAUAUCUCUCCCUUAUCUAAGAUAGUAAUCUCCAAAAUUUGUGCGCACAAAUUCCAUUGCGAUAUUGUUCCCACGCAAUUUCUUUUUGUGCGCACUAAUUCCAUUUUUGUUCCCACGAUAUUGUUCCCACGAAAAAAUCUGGCUUACACGCAAUUUCUUUUUGUCUCAGAUGAGUUAUGUAUUUCAAUAGCUAAAAAAGUAACUAAAUCAAAAAUAAAAAAAUAAAAAACUAGAAAACUGAACAAAAAGAAAUGGGUUAUUGUUGUUUUGUUUGGAGUUACAAAAUAAAUUCUUGAAUAAAUAGUCAUGGUGGGGGAGGGCUUGGAAGAAGAACAGAUGAGGUGGGAGAGGAGAAGGGAGGGGGGUGGUUUAGACUAAGGGGUGAUCAGUGGUUCAAUUGGUUCUUAAAAUAAUCUUCGACUGUGUAUUACACGCGAUAUGGCUUGGCUGGAUCGGUAUUUAUUUGAUAUACUUUGUAAUUACUUGAAGUGUGUAAGUGGAAAUUAAAU